rnacentral:rRNA from 1 species
ACGAACGCUGGCGGCGUGCUUAACACAUGCAAGUCGAACGGAAAGGCCCCUUUGGGGGUACUCGAGUGGCGAACGGGUGAGUAACACGUGAGUAACCUGCCCUUGACUUCGGGAUAACUUCAGGAAACUGGGGCUAAUACCGGAUAGGAAUCCUUGCUGCAUGGUGGGGGUUGGAAAGCUUCGGCGGUUUUGGAUGGACUCGCGGCUUAUCAGCUUGUUGGUGGGGUAGUGGCUUACCAAGGCUUUGACGGGUAGCCGGCCUGAGAGGGCGACCGGCCACAUUGGGACUGAGAUACGGCCCAGACUCCGACGGGAGGCAGCAGUGGGGAAUAUUGCACAAUGGGCGGAAGCCUGAUGCAGCAACGCCGCGUGCGGGAUGACGGCCUUCGGGUUGUAAACCGCUUUCAGCAGGGGCGAAGCUUGUGGUGACGGUACCUGCAGAAGAAGCACCGGCUAACUACGUG